rnacentral:rRNA from 1 species
UACGGAGGGGGCUAGCGUUGUUCGGAAUUACUGGGCGUAAAGCGCACGUAGGCGGCUUUGUAAGUUAGAGGUGAAAGCCCAGGGCUCAACCCUGGAAUUGCCUUUAAGACUGCAUCGCUUGAACAUCGGAGAGGUAAGUGGAAUUCCGAGUGUAGAGGUGAAAUUCGUAGAUAUUCGGAAGAACACCAGUGGCGAAGGCGACUUACUGGACGAUUGUUGACGCUGAGGUGCGAAAGCGUGGGUAGCAAACAGG